rnacentral:ncRNA from 1 species
UGUCUCCUCUACCCUCCACGGGUGGAUUUAAGCCCGGACCGGUUCGCCAGUCCGGGUUUUUUUUG